rnacentral:lncRNA from 7 species
AGCGCUGCCGUUCCUGCGCAGAUCGGUUCCGCGUCGCCACAACAACCGCCGUCAGGGCAGCGACGGGCCGCGAGUGGAAGAAGUAAUCUGUCCUCAUCAGGAGAGCCGCUGAGUGGUUGUAUGGUGUUGAUCCGGGCUGGUUUGUUUGGCAGCGGCGGUCAGCGUGUUAGUGUGCUUUGUGCGCGGAUUUCUGUGCCUUGGAAGUUGCUCAGUAUGGCCUAACAAACAAUGGAAGUUUGCCAGACUGGGGAAAAACAGCUCGAGGUCGGCCAGAAGUCGCCGUCAUGGAGCAGAUGAUGGAAAAGUGGGGAUAAAGGCCACAUUUUGAGCCAUGUUCCAGGACCCACCCACAGCAGGGAAGAUCUGAUCCCAUGGAAUGACAUGGGUGGCAAUGUGAAGAUGGGGAUCUCCUCAUCCACACUGAAGAAUGCCCAGGCCGCUUCAUAAUCCAGCGUGACCCGGACCCACGUGAGAGUGCAAGGCAAGGAGCAUGCACUGUGGAGAUUGAGCACCUGGAUCUGCCUUUCCCACUUUCCCAGAAUUCAGUCUACCCUUUCCUCUUCACAUCUUCUCAAGAGACCCCCAUGGUUCUUGGCCCCUUACUUUGAGAACACCGAAAACAGUGGAUUACACUGGAGCAUCUCUUGAACAAAGUUAACGCUCUAGGGGAUGUGUGGCAUGAAUGGAAAGGAAUGGGGCUUUUACUUGUUCCACACCAGAGCCAGAGACAUUGUCAGUGCGACAUGGCUUUCACUGGGAAGAAAAUAAGCACUGCUGCAUGUGGGCCCUUCUGAGGGCAGUGAAAGACCUCCAACUACAGUGGUCUGCAGUGAUGGCCAAGUCCACAACCUAAAGAUAGUCUCCCAAAAAAUCUGAUGUUUUGCUUCCUAUCUAAAAUCCUCCAGCUCUUCUCUGCAUGAGGAAGCUAGGUAUGAGUGGACAUUUCCUAUAUUCUCUGUAGUUCCAAGCACUGACAACAAUUUGCCAUUAGCUGGACUCUGACAGCACUGCUGGAGGUUGAGUGAAAUGAAAUUAGACAACGUAUGGACUCCAGACAAAGAAAAUAUUUAUUCUGUGAUUUAUUCUGUGAUAACCCGACUCUGAGUUGAAAGCAUGAUGCAUCUCUCUGUUAUUUGAGCAGAAGGAGUUAGCACGUAGUGAAAAAGCCAUCUCUGCUUUUCCAAAAUGACCCCAAAACCUG